UCCGAGUUAUCCUCGGCAGUCUCAUUAGAGUGCUCAUCUUACUGUUAGCAACUAAUGAUAAGGGUUGCGCUCGUUGCGGGACUUAACCCAACAUCUCACGACACGAGCUGACGACAACCAUGCACCACCUGUCUCUCUGCCCCGAAGGGUUUCCUCAGUUACGAGUAAUGCAGAGGAUGUCAAGUCCUGGUAAGGUUCUUCGCGUUGCUUCGAAUUAAACCACAUGCUCCGCUGCUUGUGCGGGCCCCCGUCAAUUCCUUUGAGUUUCAACCUUGCGGCCGUACUCCCCAGGCGGGAUACUUAUUGCGUUUACUGCGGCACGGAAGGGGUCGAUACCUCCCACACCUAGUAUCCAUCGUUUACAGCGUGGACUAC
rnacentral:misc_RNA from 1 species